GUACUUGUACCGACUGGAUGAGCAGCGAACGGGUGAGUAACGCGUGGGGAAUCUGCCUUUGAGCGGGGGACAACAUUUGGAAACGAAUGCUAAUACCGCAUAAAAACUUUAAACACAAGUUUUAAGUUUGAAAGAUGCAAUUGCAUCACUCAAAGAUGAUCCCGCGUUGUAUUAGCUAGUUGGUGAGGUAAAGGCUCACCAAGGCGAUGAUACAUAGCCGACCUGAGAGGGUGAUCGGCCACAUUGGGACUGAGACACGGCCCAAACUCCUACGGGAGGCAGCAGUAGGGAAUCUUCGGCAAUGGACGAAAGUCUGACCGAGCAACGCCGCGUGAGUGAAGAAGGUUUUCGGAUCGUAAAACUCUGUUGGUAGAGAAGAACGUUGGUGAGAGUGGAAAGCUCAUCAAGUGACGGUAACUACCCAGAAAGGGACGGCUAACUACGUGCCAGCAGCCGCGGUAAUACGUAGGUCCCGAGCGUUGUCCGGAUUUAUUGGGCGUAAAGCGAGCGCAGGUGGUUUAUUAAGUCUGGUGUAAAAGGCAGUGGCUCAACCAUUGUAUGCAUUGGAAACUGGUAGACUUGAGUGCAGGAGAGGAGAGUGGAAAUCCAUGUG
rnacentral:rRNA from 1 species